rnacentral:lncRNA from 10 species
UCCCAGAGCUGCCGGCUUCCCCUUGAAGGAAUAGGAGUAGACCUGCUGAACUAUCACAUGAGAGAAGAGGCCCAAAAGCUUGCACACUACAGUCAAGCUGGCCCUUAAAGAGAUGGACCUAGAAGAUGCUGAGCCAGAUGUACUCAAUUACUUCUCCAAAAUUCAUCAAUUAGGGUCACACAGCUGCUAAUUGUUCUGUGUGGGGAACAUGUGAGGGGAGAAGAAAAGACACACAUACAAUACCUGUAAGGGUAA